UCUUGGAGAUGAUUUAGGGGGAUAUGAUAGAGGUCUAUAAAAUCAUGAACGGUGAGAAGAAAGUGAAUAGGGAAGUGUUAUGUACCCCUUCACAUAAAACAGGAACUAGGGGGUCACUUGAUGAAAUGAAUAGGCAGCAAGUUUUUUAAAAAGCACAAUGAAGUACUUCUUCAUACAAC